CGUCAGGGGCUAUGGAUCGAGGACUUACGAACCCCGCCAGGGCAGGAAUGCAGCAACGGAAGUUUGAUGCUC
rnacentral:SRP_RNA from 1 species